UACGGGGGGGGUAAGCGUUGUUCGGAAUUACUGGGCGUAAAGGGCUCGUAGGCGGCCAACUAAGUCAGACGUGAAAUCCCUCAGCUUAACUGGGGAACUGCGUCUGAUACUGGAUGGCUUGGAUUCGGGAGAGGAAUGCGGAAUUCCAGGUGUAGCGGUGAAAUGCGUAGAUAUCUGGAGGAACACCGGUGGCGAAGGCGGCUUCCUGGACCGACACUGACGCUGAGGCGCGAAAGCUAGGGGAGCAAACGGG
rnacentral:rRNA from 1 species